UCUAGCCUCGAUCCCAGGCCGAGUUUUCGCUUUUAUAACGGUUAGGCGAACAACUGGGCCUGGUACUAGUUGUCUGCGCAUGCGUCAGUCGUUUGUCAGAUUCUGACGAAUGGAUAUUCUCGUUCACUUUUGUGACAUUUAUAUUUGUGUACUAUCGUGUACUAGAAGUCAGUUCCCGUUUUAUCAUUAUUGGAAUCGAUUGGAAUGGCUCUUAGCUGAAGCUUCUCUCUUCUCUGAAGCUUAUUCUGAAGACUGAACAACAAGGGAAGAGGUAUAAAGCUUUGUCAAGCUUGUUAAGGAGCAAUGGCUAAUAUCCAGCUAUCCCAACAGUGCUCCUCUUGGCUAUACUAACGGACGAGACUGGACAGUUUGAGACACAGGACUGGAGUAUGACCUGCUCAUUCGAGCGUUGCUGGGUAGCUCAGAGACAUCAAGAGAAUCUACGUUUUCUCAAGCAAUGAGUUACAAGUUGGGGCCUAGAAUCAGAGAAGUCCAGCAGCCUGCUAAAUCUUUUUGAAACGUAAUUUGAAUAAGGCAUUCAAUCAUCUUGAAGUUGCCCUGGGUCACUGUAAUUGUGCUGCAGCACAACUGGCAACUCCCCAGGCCUUUGUGAAGCAGCUCCCUAUGUGCAUCUUUUGUGUACUCACUCUGUGCAUUUUCUGUGUACAAAUUUCGAUUAUUGAUUUAUUAAAUAUUUUUGCCGACCACAAA